UUUCGUUUGGUUCUUAAUCCGACACACAGAACGUUGCUUUAUUCAUGACCGUAUGUUGCCUCGCGCCUUUCACAAGGCGGUGACAGUGCUCACCGUGAGCUCGUGGCUAGAGGCGGCCUGGAAGUGAGGAGAGGAUUGGCCUGAGUCAGGCACAGAGACCUCAAUUUCCAGAGGAGUCUGGUGGGAAGAGAGUCCACUGAUGGUCAAGGGUAAUCGCGUGUCCGCUGUGCCCAGAAUGCUAGAGAAGGGACCGACGCACUGAGGAACAAGAUUUAGGACAUCCAGGCCCUUGGGCACGGAGGGCGAAGUAGGGGCCCUCUUGCUCUGCUCUGAGGCUGGUACUGGAGUGCGGCAACAUUAUUUCAACUCCUGGAUCAAGCAAAGCCAAAAUCCAGCUCUACCUAUAGACAUUUGAGUGACGUGUGUCCUCUCUUCUGCUUGAGGCUGUUUAUGAAGGGUUCUCUGUCGAGCACAACUGAAAGAUUCCUAGCUCAUAUAAGGUUAACACUUCCUUUCAAAUAUCUGGAGCUGAAUAAUCCUCAAGGGACCCGUCAAUGCCUCUCUGUUCUUGGGGCUGUGCAAACAAGUUACUUUCCAAAAUGUCAA